CCCCGGCGCGCGGGGCGUAGAACCUAGUCGACUCGUAGUGACCUGCCGGGUGUUUUGUACCUUCUAAGUAGAGCGCGUCUUGGUUUACGCACGGUCAUGUGUUCUCUCAGGAAUCCAGGCUGCGCCUCGACCGGCCUCACCAAGCCGCCCUUUCACGCCACUCGUGGGAAGCUAAGCCACCCACUCCCACACAGCUUUCAAGGAGGAAACAGCUGGCUCUGUCCGGAAUGCCCACUGUCUCUAUCAACUGCUACCACCUGCACCUUUCCAUGCUCCUCCUGUAUGAAAAUUCAAGCUCCAGAAAACCUUCCCUGAUUCCCUGCAAUCUGUGUUAAGACCACUGCAGUGUGCUGCGGUUGCUUCUCUCCAUUUACCAUGCUGUGCUUAACGCGCUACCGGACACAUAGUGGGUGCUCAAUAAAUGAACAGGCAACCUCGAGUCAUUUCUUUCAUUCACUCAGUCAACACUUACACAGAAAUAACUCCGAGGAGCCUUCUUUACCCAUUGUCAAGCAUUAUCUAAGAGCUUUUGAUACAUUAUCUCUUUAAUCCUCCCAGCAACCGUGUGAGGAGAUGCUUUUAUUGUCCACAUAGUAAAGAUAAGGAAAAUGAAACACAGAGUCACACAGUUACAGGGAGCCCAACCAGAGGCAAGUGCGCCUGCACAGCAGGCGGAGCCUCAGAUGGCUCUCAAAACACCUGGCUCUGGGCUGAAAUGAACUACCCAAGAACCCGGGUUAGCUUUUCCUGAACUGCAGAGGGGGCUGGCAGGUCACUGGCCUGACUUUUUCAUUCACUAAAUAUUUAUUGGCAUUGCUGCUAGGCACUGAUAUAUAAAGAUAAAUGUCACAAAAGCUCUCCCUUCAAAGGGUCUUCAGUGGAAACAGACAUGUUUAAUCAUGACAGUACAGUGAGAUAAGUGUUUCAGUAUCUAAUGGAGAUUGCAGUAGGUUGCCUAGAAGAAGAUUAGGUUAACAUUGCCUGUUGGAUGGGAGUUGGAAACCGGAGAUGGGAGAUCUAGGAAGGCUUCUGGUGGAGGCGAUACUUUCACUUUUUUGAAGAACAAGUGAGAGUUUUUUAGGCAGAAAGACUAGAAGAGAAAGGGAGCAGACCCAGAUGCAUGGCACUGUGUGGGCCCUCCAGAGAAUCAUGGAUGGCUUGAGCAGCAGAGUUCAGAUAGAAGAUUUUCAAGGGAUGACAACAAAAGGAAAGGAAGGGUCUUAUAUAUCUGGCAGAGCGCCUCCUGAGAGAAUCCUCUACGCUUAUUAUCGUUGGGAUAAUGUAAAUGAAUGAACAUGGAACAUUGUAAAGCUCAGUAGAAAUACAGGAUACUGUGACUAUUAGCCCCAUGGCUUCUGUGUGCUCCCUGAGUUAGAAUGUGACAAUAAUGGAGUCAGAGGCCGGAGUCAGCCCCCAAAGACUUGCCCCUAUUUCAGAUCCUCAGAUGUACUUUCUAACCCAGUGGCUGUCUUGCAGGUGGGGUUUGUUGGUUAACAGACUUGGGAGCCAUCAUGACUCAAGGAUCAUAGUUUGAGGUCAGAGCCCCCACGAUCAGAAAAGGAGCACAGGGGACUUCCCUGGUGGCGCGGUAGAUAAGACUCCAAGCUCCCAAUGCAGGGGGCCGGGGUUCGAUCCCUGGUCAGGGAACUAGAUCCCACAUGCAUGCUGCAACUAAGGAGCCCACGUGCCGCAACUAAGGAGCCCACGUGCCGCAACUAAGACCAGGUGCAACCAAAUAAAUAAAUAUUAAAAAAAGAAAAAGGAGCACAAAAUUUUGUUCCUUUUUAAGUUUUCACUUUGAAAUAAUUACAGACCCACAGGGAGUUGCAAAAGUAGUACUUAGAGACCUGUGCAUCUUCACUCAGUUUCCCCCAAUGGUAACAUCUUACAUAGCUAUAGUAUAAUAUCAAAAUCAGGAAAUCGAUAUUGGUACAGUGCACAAAGGCUUUUUGAAGACAUCCUAGAAACUUCUUACAAAACUGAGUGAAGGCUCUACAGACCCUGCAUUUUACAAAAUCCUCAUUGGCUAUUUUAUUACAAAAGUUAUAGCUCAUAGUUCAAAAAACCAAUUCAUACCACUGGACAAAUGACAGAAAGCUUACAGAAAAAAAUCAAGAUGGCUUUUUACACUGAAAAAAAAGAGUCAUUUAUAACUUUUAAAAUAUGCAAAUUAAACUUGCAAUGAGAUAACAUGUUUUCUUCUUAGAUUUAAAAGUCUGAUAAUACUGUGUUGAUCUGACAUUGGGUAACAGGCACUGGAAAAUGUUUCUGCAGAAAGUAAAUCGGUACAAUCUUGUUGGAGGGCAAUUUGAAAAGACCCAGCAUUUAUCCUUCUGGGAAUUUAUUAUAAUACAUGCAUGUGUGCAGAAUGACAUAUUUAUAAGGAUAUUCGUUGCAGUGACGCUAAUUGUAGUGAAAAGACAGGAAUAGUCUACAUUUUAUCUAUAGGAGACUGACUCAAAAAAGCCACAGAAGGAAGUAUUGUGCAGCCAUGAAAGUGGAAGAAGCUCUUUAUGUAGUGACAUGUAACAAAAUUCAAGAUACAUUGUUAAAGAAAAAAGUGAGGCUCAGAACAGUAUGUAAUGUUUGCUACCAUUUGUGUUUAAAAAGUUGGAGGGAUGGGGAGAAAUACGCACACAUAUCUGACCUGGCAUGUGCAUAAAAUAUCUCUGGAAAGAUACACAAGGGAAUGUGAAGAGGGUCGUCGCUGAGGAGGAGAACUCAGGGAGACUAGUUUUAAAACAU
ensembl:lncRNA